GGUCUGGUGGUGUAGUGGUUAUCACGUCAGUCUCACAAUGAAUCUUGACCUCAAAUCGAGGCAUUGAGCGCACUGAAGGUCGGGAGUUCGAACCUCCCCUAGAUCA
rfam:Verticillium longisporum isolate VL1 genome assembly, contig: scaffold_1